UUACUACUCCCUCCGUCCCAAAAUUCUUGUCUUAGAUUUGUCUAGAUAUGGAUGUAUCUAAUACUAAAAUGUGACUUGAUACAUCCGUAUUUAGACAAAUCUAAGACAAGAAUUUUGAGACGGAGGGAGUACUAA
rnacentral:pre_miRNA from 1 species